GGCGUAUCUAUACAGAUUGUUCAGUAGCUAUUGUGCUACAGUUUGACUGCUGGGUUACAAUUUCUGUGUUUACCUGUGUUGACUUGCUGGAAUUAAUUUUCGUUUAGCGUCGUGAAUUUGUUUGGUAACGUGAGGAGUGGCAUCCGGUAAUCUGUUGACAAGAAAAACAGUUCAGUACGUUAAUUAAUUGAUCAUGGCAAUGGCAAUAUCAAAGAGAAUGUAUCAAUUAUUUUCUUGAAAAUAGAAAUGAUAUAUAUUG